GACGAACGCUGGCGGCGUGCUUAACACAUGCAAGUCGAACGGAAAGGCCCUGCUUUUGUGGGGUGCUCGAGUGGCGAACGGGUGAGUAACACGUGAGUAACCUGCCCUUGACUUUGGGAUAACUUCAGGAAACUGGGGCUAAUACCGGAUAGGAGCUCCUGCUGCAUGGUGGGGGUUGGAAAGUUUCGGCGGUUGGGGAUGGACUCGCGGCUUAUCAGCUUGUUGGUGGGGUAGUGGCUUACCAAGGCUUUGACGGGUAGCCGGCCUGAGAGGGUGACCGGCCACAUUGGGACUGGGAUACGGCCCAGACUCCUACGGGAGGCAGCAGUGGGGAAUAUUGCACAAUGGGCGGAAGCCUGAUGCAGCAACGCCGCGUGCGGGAUGACGGCCUUCGGGUUGCAAACCGCUUUCGCCUGUGACGAAGCGUGAGUGACGGUAAUGGGUAAAGAAGCACCGGCUAACUACGUG
rnacentral:rRNA from 1 species